ACGGGCCGGCUCAACCCG
rnacentral:snRNA from 1 species